CAGUAGCGUAUAUUAAAGUUGUUGCAGUUAAAAAGCUCGUAGUUGCCAGUUCAAGGAGAGUCUUCUUCCAAGGAGAAUCUGUCUGAUAGCUUUCUUUGAAAGUUCAAUUAUUUUGAGAAAAAUAGCGUGUUUCAUGCGGGCCAGUGCUGAGAUAGUGUACCAUGGAAUGAUCUUGUGGCCAGUCCUAUCAAUUUUUGAUUUUUGAUGUUCUGGCGCGUGAUUUCGAGAAGUACUCGGGGGUAUUUGUAUUGGACAGUCAGAGGUGAAAUUCUAAGAUUUGUUCAAGACAAAACUAAGGCGAAAGCAUCUGCCAAGGAUGCAUUUUCUAA
rnacentral:rRNA from 1 species